CUUUCCACUGUCAUGAAAGCUCCACCGGGAAAUGUGAUUUGUUUUCUGUUCAUUGCUGUAUCUCCACACCCAGAACAGUGCUUGGCAUAUGGAUUCUGUAUAAUAAGGUCCUUGUAUACUGACUCUUCAAGUAUCACUUUUUCAGUGUGUAGAAUCAUUUAUAUCGACUCCCAGCAUAAGACCCAGGACUAAAACCCAGAAGUCAAAGUGGUACCAGCUGAGGAAAGAUAUAUUGGGCUGAAGGCCAAACUAAAUAAAAGAUAUAAGAAAAGGACAAAUUCUGAGUAAAAGAGAAAAAAAAAAUGAAGCAUACCAAAGAGAUAUUUGAUCAUUGUUUUUAAAGAUACGACUGAAGAAGUUUGCGUUUGCAGCCUCAAAGCCCAAAUAAGCAUUUUCUCAUUACACUCAGGGGAGGAAUGGAAGCAUUUCAACUGGCUACGAUCCAGUGUACAUCUGUUAGAAGAUAGAACCAAGCAAGUUGCUUUAUCCUGGGCUGAGCUCCUGAGGACACUUGAAAUCACAUGGAGCAGGAAAGAAAGCAGAAUGAAAUGCCCAUCAAGAACAGAAUUGUACUCAAGGAUAAUUGCAAAGGGUCAGUAAAGAAGAGGUACUGUAAUGGUCAAGUUGAAGAGAUCAUUUUAGGCCACAAACAAAAAACAAAUGAGAGGUAGAAAAUAUAAAUGAUGGAGUGACUUCAAGAAAUGUAAUUUGGUAAUAUUAUGUUGCAGAUCUUGAAUAUGUAUAUACAAACGAACAAAAAAAAGGAAUCCUCAAAAAGUUACAAUCUAACAAGGAAGUUACACAAACAAUAAAAAUGAUUAUAUAAAUUCAGAGCACAGUGAGAAUACACAGCAAGAAUCAUUAAACAUAUUCUGGGGUCAUUCGAUAGAAACCU